rnacentral:rRNA from 1 species
CGUCUACGAGUUUGAUCCUGGCUCAGGAUGAACGCUAGCGGCAGGCUUAACACAUGCCAGUCGAGGGGCAGCGCGAUGUAGCAAUACAUUGGCGGCGACCGGCGCACGGGUGCGUAACACGUAUGGAACUUACCCUUUACUGGGAGAUAGCCCGGAGAAAUCCGGAUUAAUAUCCCAUAAUAAACGAGGUGGCAUCACUUUGUUUUGAAAGCUCCGGCGGUAAAGGAUGGCCAUGCGCACGAUUAGCUAGUAGGUGAGGUAACGGCUCACCUAGGCUACGAUCGUUAGGGGGCCUGAGAGGGUUAUCCCCCACACUGGUACUGAGACACGGACCAGACUCCUACGGGAGGCAGCAGUGAGGAAUAUUGCGCAAUGGAGGCAACUCUGACGCAGCCAUGCCGCGUGCAGGAAGAAGGCGCUACGCGUUGUAAACUGCUUUUAACCGGGAAGAAACCCCAGGACGUGUCCUGGGUUGACGGUACCGGAGGAAUAAGCACCGGCUAACUUCGUG